UUGCAGAUUGACCAUGCAUUCUAUAUCUUCAGCGAUUAUCUCUGCUAAGUCUCUGCCAUUUGAAAAAGCAAAAACAAUGAAGAGUUCUGAGAGAAAAGAGUUAGCAAAGGUUGCCUGGGACAUGGACAUCCAGAUCAUCUGCUGCAAGAACUUCUUUCUUCACCAAGACAGCCU
rnacentral:lncRNA from 1 species